UUGAUCCUGGCUCAGGACGAACGCUGGCGGCGUGCUUAACACAUGCAAGUCGAACGAAGAACGAUGGAAGCUUGCUUCUAUCAAUCUUAGUGGCGAACGGGUGAGUAACGCGUAAUCAACCUGCCCUUCAGAGGGGGACAACAGUUGGAAACGACUGCUAAUACCGCAUACGAUCCAAUCUCGGCAUCGAGACUGGAUGAAAGGUGGCCUCUAUUCAUAAGCUAUCACUGAAGGAGGGGAUUGCGUCUGAUUAGCUAGUUGGAGGGGUAACGGCCCACCAAGGCGAUGAUCAGUAGCCGGUCUGAGAGGAUGAACGGCCACAUUGGGACUGAGACACGGCCCAUACUCCUACGGGAGGCAGCAGUGGGGAAUCUUCCGCAAUGGACGAAAGUCUGACGGAGCAACGCCGCGUGAGUGAUGACGGCCUUCGGGUUGUAAAGCUCUGUUAAUCGGGACGAACGGUUCUUGUGCGAAUAGUGCGAGGAUUUGACGGUACCGGAAUAGAAAGCCACGGCUAACUACGUGCCAGCAGCCGCGGUAAUACGUAGGUGGCAAGCGUUGUCCGGAAUUAUUGGGCGUAAAGCGCGCGCAGGCGGAUUGGUCAGUCUGUCUUAAAAGUUCGGGGCUUAACCCCGUGAUGGGAUGGAAACUGCCAAUCUAGAGUAUCGGAGAGGAAAGUGGAAUUCCUAGUGUAGCGGUGAAAUGCGUAGAUAUUAGGAAGAACACCAGUGGCGAAGGCGACUUUCUGGACGAAAACUGACGCUGAGGCGCGAAAGCCAGGGGAGCGAACGGGAUUAGAUACCCCGGUAGUCCUGGC
rnacentral:rRNA from 1 species